ACUGUUUGUGCAAUUUCUAUGUUUAGUCUUGUGCUCUGAUACAUUCAUAUCUCAAAAGCUAAGUAUGGUUGGGCUAAAUAAUAAUUAGAUGGGAGACCUCCAAAAAACACCUAGAGCUACAGGAAGUC
rnacentral:rRNA from 1 species